UACAGAGGGUGCAAGCGUUGUUCGGAAUUACUGGGCGUAAAGCGCGUGUAGGCGGACAAAGAAGUCAGGUGUGAAAGCCCUGGGCUCAACUCAGGAACUGCGCUUGAAACCAUUUGUCUAGAGGUCCGGAGGGGAUCGGGGAAUUCCCAGUGUAGAGGUGAAAUUCGUAGAUAUUGGGAGGAACAUCGGUGGCGAAAGCGCCGAUCUGGACGGAAUCUGACGCUGAGACGCGAAAGCGUGGGGAGCAAACAGG
rnacentral:rRNA from 1 species